GGGAGAGGACUCAGCUGAGGGGAGCUGGGCGGUCAGCGCCGUGGCCUGCUUGCCUUGGACCCUCCUCUCCAUCUGCUUUCUGCACUGAUACUGUGUCAGAGGCUGGGGUCUGGAACAUCUGCUGCUGCGGCUUCCUGCUUUUGUAGAGGAGGAGACAGAGGCCCACAGAGACACAGCCAGGAUCUCACAGAGACUCAGAGACCCUGAGAAUGAUGCCUCCAGGCCCAGUCUCCUCACCUUGCCGGACUGGAGGCCAAAGCCCCGCCCACUCUUGUUCUGAUGCUUGGAUCCCUUGCCCUCUCCCUUGCCCCAGGAUAGAGUCAGGCCUGGAGCCCUCCCGGAUGUGACCAGAAGACGGGCAGUUCCUGGGAGGACUGCAUGCGUGGCCUGGUGGGGGAGCGGUUCCCCAAACACAGAGCGGGCUGUUUGCAGAAGGGAGCUCCUACCCGGCACUGUCCUCAAGGGGCAUUUAAAUUGAGUGGACAGACUUGCUGCUCACUAAGGGGUGUCCUCAGACAAAGGCGACAUCCGACUAUGGAUAUGGGAACUGUGGUGAGCCUAGGCAGGUGCCAGCCCUGUGUCGGUCCCCAUGGGCACUGUCCCAGGGAAGGGAAGGCUCAGCUCCCUCAGCCACUGAUAAUGAACCCCAGAAACUCACAUCACCCUCACCCAACCUGGCUUCCUGUUUGUAAGCCUUUUGCUGUCCCUGAUCUUGUGAGUCCCUCACCCUGGGCUCAAGGGGAUGUCGGCCUUCUUUGCAUUUUAUAGAUGGGGAAGCUGAGCCUCGAAGACGUCACACGAAUUGCCCAUGUGUGGCAGUCCCUAGGCACUGUUCCUAAACCCACCAAUGGCUUCUUCCGCCAGGAGCUGCAGCUCAGCCGAGAGCUUCCCCUGGCAGGAGGAACGCGCUUAGCCCGAGGUGACACCUCUAGAAACACCCCAAUUAUUGAAGCUCAGGAGCUGGGGAUGAAUCAAUACGGCAGCUUCUCAGCCUUCCAGCGGGUGGGCAGCUCUGAGGCAGGUUCAGCACCAUCCCAGGCAGUCAGUCCCCUGGGGAUGGCAUUCCAGUUGCCCGCGGUCGCAGCCCACUCCACGCACGGGGCAUUUCAGCUGCCUUCCGCCCUGCUUCUGCUCCUGGCUCCUGUGCAGCCUUCCAGGUCUCUGCCCAAGUCC
rnacentral:lncRNA from 1 species